UUUAUCUAUUUUAAAGACCUUUUUCGGAAGGUAGCUUAAAGAGGGGCUUGCGUCACAUUAGUUAAGUGGCAGGGUAAAGGCCUACCAAGACUAUGAUGUGUAGCUGGACUGAGAGGUUGAACAGCCACAUUGGGACUGAGACACGGCCCAAACUCCUACGGGAGGCAGCAGUAGGGAAUUUUCGGCAAUGGAGGAAACUCUGACCGAGCAACGCCGCGUGAACGAUGAAGUAUUUCGGUAUGUAAAGUUCUUUUAUUGAAGAAGAAAAAAUAGUGGAAAAACUAUCUUGACGAUAUUCAAUGAAUAAGCCCCGGCAAACUAUGUGCCAGCAGCCGCGGUAAUACAUAGGGGGCGAGCGUUAUCCGGAAUUAUUGGGCGUAAAGGGUGCGUAGGCGGUUUAAUAAGUCUAUAGUUUAAUUUCAGUGCUUAACACUGUCCUGCUAUAGAAACUAUUAGACUAGAGUGAGAUAGAGGCAAGUGGAAUUCCAUGUGUAGCGGUAAAAUGCGUAAAUAUAUGGAGGAACACCAGAGGCGUAGGCGGCUUGCUGGGUCUUUACUGACGCUGAGGCACGAAAGCGUGGGGAGCAAACAGGAUUAGAUACCCUGGUAGUCCACGCCGUAAACGAUGAGUACUAAGUGUCGGGAUUACUCGGUACUGAAGUUAACACAUUAAGUACUCCGCCUGAGUAGUACGUACGCAAGUAUGAAACUUAAAGGAAUUGACGGGACUCCGCACAAGCGGUGGAUCAUGUUGUUUAAUUUGAAGAUACACGAAAAACCUUACCAGGUCUUGACAUACUCUGCAAAGCUAUAGCAAUAUAGUGGAGGUUAUCAGGGAUACAGGUGGUGCAUGGUUGUCGUCAGCUCGUGUCGUGAGAUGUUAGGUUAAGUCCUAAAACGAGCGCAACCCUUGUCAUUAGUUGCCAGCAUGUCAUGAUGGGCACUUUAAUGAGACUGCCAAUGAAAAAUUGGAGGAAGGUGAGGAUCACGUCAAAUCAUCAUGCCCCUUAUGAUCUGGGCUACAAACGUGAUACAAUGGCUGUUACAAAGAGUAGCUGAAACGCAAGUUUAUAGCCAAUCUCAUAAAAGCAGUCUCAGUUCGGAUUGAAGUCUGCAACUCGACUUCAUGAAGUUGGAAUCGCUAGUAAUCGCGAAUCAGCAUGUCGCGGAAUAUUUUUCGC
rnacentral:rRNA from 1 species